CAGUCUUUUGGGAGGCACAAACAUAUAAAUGCUGAGAAGACAGAAUUAAGUUCCGUCAACUUAACCUGACGUGUUGGUGACAAUAGACAACAGCUAAAAGAAAACUGUAGCCCGCUCGUCGCCCAAAGAGCCUGGAGGACGCUGGUUAACAAGAGUAGGAGCAGAUGGAAAGUUAAUAGUGGAGCUCCUGUUGAUGAGAGGAGAGGGAGCGUUCAGUGAGAAGCACAGGAGAUGGCUGCUGUUUGCUACCUUCACCAGACUACAGCUGCUCCUCCACCUUGUAAAUGGAGAGUCGGCCAACGCCGCCACAUGGAGACCCUCUCUCGCCCCGACAGACCAGACUACAGUCCUCCUCGGGAGCCUGUGGGCUACUGAUCCGGUUCCCGCAGUGGCAUUCAGCUCCAUACUCUAGACCUGCAAACUGAUCAAGCCUUCUGUCCUGGCCUGCUCUUCACUCUCCCCUCUCUCACCACCAACCCCCUCAUCUUUUACUGUCAUCCAGCCACCUGGCUCUCCGCUGGCUCCACACACAGGAGGCAUUCAUGGAGGCGACUGAGAUCCAAAGCGUUUACUCAAACAGCAGGCCCUCUGUGGUCCCUUCACAGGGGCAUGCCGUGAACGCAUUACCUUUCCG